rnacentral:rRNA from 1 species
AGUGAACGCUGGCGGUAGGCCUAACACAUGCAAGUCGAACGGCAGCACAGUAAGAGCUUGCUCUUACGGGUGGCGAGUGGCGGACGGGUGAGGAAUACAUCGGAAUCUACUUUUUCGUGGGGGAUAACGUAGGGAAACUUACGCUAAUACCGCAUACGACCUACGGGUGAAAGCAGGGGAUCUUCGGACCUUGCGCGAUUGAAUGAGCCGAUGUCGGAUUAGCUAGUUGGCGGGGUAAAGGCCCACCAAGGCGACGAUCCGUAGCUGGUCUGAGAGGAUGACCAGCCACACUGGAACUGAGACACGGUCCAGACUCCUACGGGAGGCAGCAGUGGGGAAUAUUGGACAAUGGGCGCAAGCCUGAUCCAGCCAUACCGCGUGGGUGAAGAAGGCCUUCGGGUUGUAAAGCCCUUUUGUUGGGAAAGAAAAGCAGCAGGUUAAUACCCCGCUGUUCUGACAGUACCCAAAGAAUAAGCACCGGCUAACUUCGUG